UCUUCCAGGGCCUUCCGGGGCACGCUGGACUGUUCCGGAAGCAUUUUGGAGCUGUUUUGAGCCUGUUUUGGGGCGAAAAUAGUGCCGUCCGUAACAUCAAGACUUCGAAGAACAUCACCAUACGACUGCACGCGACUAAAAAUGAACCGUGAUAUUCGUGCCCAACCUAAUAUCACAGCAUGAUUUCAGCCCGUAUUGGCAGGAGGAAGUUAGUGGUUUAGUGAAACAGAAGAGUUAUACUUUUUUUCAAAAUUUUAUUUAGGGUGAAAUUCCCCAACUAUAUAUAAGGGAGAAGUUUAUUAUUCAUAACACAUGUAACAUGCAUAUCAAGCCAAUACACUCUUAUUCUUUCUGUU
rnacentral:lncRNA from 1 species